GUGAUUCUAAAGGCAAUUCCCUUCAGUCUGAGUUUUAUGAACUUCUAGGAGCCUCAGCUUCAAUAUCUAUUUUCUUAGGAAGGUUGUGUUUCACAUGGAUGUAGGUAUGUGCCACAGCCGCAUGACGUCUUGAUUAGGUGUCUCUGUUAAGAUUGCUUUAAAGGACAUCUGUACCACGGAAUUCCCAGAUGCUGGACGAAGCUUUUAUUACCUGUGACUUGCAACACUGAACCUUAUAAAACGACUGGAUUGAGCCUGGUGAAGUGUAAAUCUGACAUGGACAUUCCCCUCAUCAAAACUGCAAUAAACAAUUAAUUCAGAAAGGUAUAUACACUCCUAGAUUCAUUGCAGCAUUAGUUACAAUAGCCAAGAUACGGAAGCAACUGAAGUGUUUAUUGAUAGAUGAAUGGUUAAAGAGGAUGUGGGGCGGGGGGUGUGUGUGUAUUUAAUUAUUUGUAAUAGGAUAUUAUUAAACCAUAAAAAAGAAUGAAAUCUUGCCAUUGGCAACCACGUAGGUGGACCUAGGGAGUAUUAUGUUAAGUGAAAUAAGUCAAGCAGGGAAAGAUAAAUAGUAUAUGAUCUCACACUUACAUGUGGAAUCUUAAAAAAAAAAAA